rnacentral:rRNA from 1 species
UUGGAUUCGCUAGUAAUCGCGCAUCAGCCAUGGCGCGGUGAAUACGUUCCCGGGCCUUGUACACACCGCCCGUCAAGCCAUGGGAGCCGGGGGUGCCUGAAGUUCGUGACCGCAAGGAGCGACCUAGGGCAAAACUGGUGACUGGGGCUAAGUCGUAACAAGGUAUC